rnacentral:lncRNA from 1 species
AUCGAGUCGUCACCAGGCCUUAGAGUUGAAGACUUUUGCAGAAGAGAAGAAGAAAGAGGCUCAUCAUUAUAAGAAGAAAACAUCUUCCCUAAAGAAAUCUCUAGAGGCGUCUGAGGCUCGAGCCCACGAGCAGGAGAUAGAGAAUGACAAUUUGCAGUCUGUGUUGGCUCGUGCUCCGGAGGAGGCAGUCGAGACGAAUAGGGCCUCUACUGAGUAUACUAGGGACUUAGAGGCAUCUGUGGAGCAAUAUAAGUCAUCGUCUGAUUAUGCCAGGGCCUUGCAUUUGUACAGGGGGAAGGUGAUGGCAACGUUCAUCAAAUUGACCAAUGAGUGGAUAUCGAUCAAGCACCCUUCUAUUGACCCCUCAGGUUUUGAUAAGUUCCUUGCACAGCGCAAGGGGAGGGAAAGUGGGGCGCAGCCAUCUAGGUCACUUGGUCAUUCGUUCACGGGGCGAUAGUAGUGGUGCUUCCCCUUCGAGUUGAAGCAUGACUUAGUAGUAGCACCUUUUGUGAGUGAC